UACAGAGGUCUCAAGCGUUGUUCGGAUUCAUUGGGCGUAAAGGGUGCGUAGGCGGCGCGGUAAGUCGGAUGUGAAAUCUCGGGGCUUAACUCCGAAACUGCAUUCGAUACUGCCGUGCUUGAGGACUGGAGAGGAGACUGGAAUUUACGAUGUAGCGGUGAAAUGCGUAGAUAUCGUAAGGAAGACCAGUGGCGAAGGCGGGUCUCUGGACAGUUCCUGACGCUGAGGCACGAAGGCCAGGGGAGCAAACGGG
rnacentral:rRNA from 1 species